GAUGAACGCUGGCGGCGUGCCUAAUACAUGCAAGUAGAACGCUGAAGCUUGGUGCUUGCACCGAGCGGAUGAGUUGCGAACGGGUGAGUAACGCGUAGGUAACCUGCCUCUUAGCGGGGGAUAACUAUUGGAAACGAUAGCUAAUACCGCAUAAAAGUCGAUAUCGCAUGAUAUUGAUUUGAAAGGUGCAAAUGCAUCACUAAGAGAUGGACCUGCGUUGUAUUAGCUAGUUGGUGAGGUAACGGCUCACCAAGGCGACGAUACAUAGCCGACCUGAGAGGGGGAUCGGCCACACUGGGACUGAGACACGGCCCAGACUCCUACGGGAGGCAGCAGUAGGGAAUCUUCGGCAAUGGGGGCAACCCUGACCGAGCAACGCCGCGUGAGUGAAGAAGGUUUUCGGAUCGUAAAGCUCUGUUGUAAGAGAAGAACGAGUGUGAGAGUGGAAAGUUCACACUGUGACGGUAACUUACCAGAAAGGGACGGCUAACUACGUG
rnacentral:rRNA from 1 species